AGCGUUUAGGGGCGGAGCUUGCGGCGGAAGCGGCGUCCGCGCGCUCCGUGGGGCGCAGGUUCCAGAGAUGCUGCGCGCGGGGUGGUUGCGGCUGUACGCCGCGCUCUGCAGCCUCCUGCUGGGGCGGGCCGAGGCCCCGAGCCCUGGGGUGCCGCCGGAGCAGAGCCGGCCCUACGCGGUGCUGCGGGGGCAGAACCUGGUGUUGAUGGGAACCAUCUUUAGCAUCCUGCUGGUGACUGUCAUCCUUAUGGCAUUUUGUGUCUACAAGCCCAUUCGUCGACGGUGACAGCCACACGAAGAAGUCCUGCUCCAGGUUUCCGGGACAGAAGUUGCACAUGGGCCACUGGGGACGGUGGAAUCAGAACUUCCGGGCAGGCGGUAAAUGCCCCAGGGCUAGGAAAGCACCUAGCAGUAAUUGUUUCCCUCACCUCCGUUAUUGGCUACUGAUUCGGCAUCUUUCUUUUUGUUUGGCUGUGCUGGUUAAAAGUGAAGCCCGAAGCUCUAGGGGUCCUUGUAAAGACCAUUGCAGAGUGUCCAGAAGAACCAGUCCGAGGACUAAUCGCUAAUGCUUAACUAGUAAGAGGAAGACUUAACAUGUAGAUCUGCCCUGUUUGCCGUCUUUCUGUAACAGUGUGGUAAUCACACGUGGGGGCCAGCAGGAUGACUCGGCAGAUAAAGGCACUUGAUUCCUGGAACUCACCUGAUGAAAGGAGAGACCCGUCCCACCCCAUGGGUUGUUCCCUGACCUCCACAUAGGAAUAAGUAAAUACACACACACACCCCAUCCCAUCUCACUCUACUGAGUUGUCCUCAAAUACCCUGUUGUAAAGCACUGUUGAUUUUGGGAACUUAGCCAUCACUCCUUGCAUUGGUGCUGAGUCAGAGUUGCAUCCUAGGUCUGUGAUCGUGCCCCCCCCCAUCCCCGCCUGGAAGGUUCUGGGUGGCUCAGACAUGUAGAUGUCCUGGCGGUGGCGACCUGAGACUUGGUCUCCCGUUUUCCCUCUGUGUAGAGGGUUCAGUCUUACGUCCCCUCUGUAAGCUGCUGUUUACAAGACUGUCUGCUUUCCAAGUGCUGCUGCUGAGCUAGAUUUUCCCCGUUGGUACUUUCUGUUGUUAUAGAGGUUAUUAGUAUUUAUUUUAAUUUUGCCAUGAAGUUAUUGUUAUGCUUAAUUGUGUAUUGCCCUCAAACACAGCACUGGUCUUUUGUGUUUUAACUUAACACCCUGCACUGAUGUGAACGGCACCCAACUGUGGGGUCCUGUCUGGAACCUUGUAACCCUGAGCCAUUAAAUGUUAAAUUGAAGAGAAACCC